rnacentral:rRNA from 1 species
GACGAACGCUAGCGGCGUGCCUAAUACAUGCAAGUCGAGCGAAUCAUGAGGUGCUUGCACCUCUUGGUUAGCGGCGGACGGGUGAGUAACACGUGGGCAACCUGCCUGUAAGACUGGGAUAACUUCGGGAAAACGGAGCUAAUACCGGAUAAUCCUUUUCCUCUCAUGAGGAAAAGCUGAAAGUCGGUUUCGGCUGACACUUACAGAUGGGCACGCGGCGCAUUAGCUAGUUGGUGAGGUAACGGCUCACCAAGGCGACGAUGCGUAGCCGACCUGAGAGGGUGAUCGGCCACACUGGGACUGAGACACGGCCCAGACUCCUACGGGAGGCAGCAGUAGGGAAUCUUCCGCAAUGGACGAAAGUCUGACGGAGCAACGCCGCGUGAGCGAUGAAGGCCUUCGGGUCGUAAAGCUCUGUUGUUAGGGAAGAACAAGUAUCGGAGUAACUGCCGGUACCUUGACGGUACCUAACCAGAAAGCCACGGCUAACUACGUGCCAGCCGCCGCAGUAA